rnacentral:tRNA from 1 species
GGGGUUGUAGUUCAGUGGUAGAGCUCUCGCCUAGCGCGAGAGUGAGGCACUGGGUUCGACUCCCAGCACCA